GGGGGUAUAGCUCAGUGAUAACAGUGUAUGCUUGGCAUGCACGAGGUCCUGGGUUCUAUCCCCAGUACCUCCA
rnacentral:tRNA from 1 species